UACGUAGGGUGCGAGCGUUAAUCGGAAUUACUGGGCGUAAAGCGUGCGCAGGCGGCGCCGCAAGUCGAGUGUGAAAUCCCCGAGCUUAACUUGGGAAUUGCGCUCGAAACUACGGUGCUGGAGUGUGGCAGAGGGAGGUGGAAUUCCACGUGUAGCGGUGAAAUGCGUAGAUAUCUGGAGGAACACCGGUGGCGAAGGCGGCAUCCUGGACCGAUAUUGACGCUGAUGCGCGAAAGCCAGGGGAGCAAACGGG
rnacentral:rRNA from 1 species